rnacentral:sRNA from 2 species
AGCAGGGCCGUUGUUAGCUGGUUUCACACUAGCCCCGGAACUUGGAAAGUGGGAAGCGAAGGAUAUCGGGGGUGGAUCUUCCAGGCAGCGGUGACCUCGCCAGAUGGGAGAGUACCAGCUUGAGCUGUAUCUGUAUUGGUGACUUAGACUGUUGGAAACUUGAAUCUCUCGAGUCCGAUGAGUUCAGAGUUCAGUUCUAGACGCAGAUAACGGGCAACCUACUGCUCCCUGAAAAAUAAGCGUCAUUGGGCAUUGAAUAUGACCGCUUGUAAACGCGAAAACCAUGGAACUUACUAGUGAGAAUCAACUCCCGGAAUGGGGCUUCCACAGAAACAGCAGCUCAGCGCGGGCGAAAGGGAUUGAUGGCACACCCGCUUUCUCC